CUCAAAUUCACUGACACACACACUCACUCACUCACUUUCACUGACACACUCACUCACAUUCACUGACACACACACUCACAUUCACUGACACACACUCACAUACUCACAUUCAAUGACACACACACUCACUCACAUCCACUGACACACACUCACAUUCAUUGACACACACUUACUCACAUUCACUGACACACACAUUUCCCCCCAAC